rfam:Ovis aries breed Texel chromosome 3, whole genome shotgun sequence.
CCUGGUGGCUCAGAGGGGAAAGCACCUGCCUGCAAUGCAGGAGACCUGGGUUUGAUCCCUGGGUCAGGA